GAGAGCUGGCUUCUGCCGGCUGCAGCUGUGCACUUUGCUGAAGUUCUAAUACAAUCUCCAUAUGCUUCCCACCGCCUCACAUAGGUGAUCUGGCCUUUCAGUUCAAUGAAACGCGCAGCAGAACCCUUUUCAGGAUUGAGGAUCAAAUCCACACGUUACUUCCUUUACUACUGAGCUACAUAUCAGCCUGUGCCACUCAUGUAAAAUUGAUAAGGGAACAGUAAGAAAACCAAUAGGAUUUAACCCUUGUAUCCAAAAGUCAAAAAAGUGUUCAUUUCUUGCUUAAAUGUCAAGAGAGUCACGUACUAAGGAGCUCCUUAAUACUGUGAAACGAAGUUGGGUUCACGGGACUGAUACAUUAGGGAUCAGGUAGGCCAUAUAGAUACUUCUCAGUCUCCCUCUGGAGUGUACUUACUAGUGGCUCAGCUUCAUAAGGAGGUUUAACCAGCCAGAGGUGAUAACUGGGACACAGCACAUGCUGUGUGAUUGUAAGCAUAGUAUUAGACAAAGCCAAUCUAUCCCAGAGUCAAGCAAAUAGAGAACAAAUAUAAACUAAAGGCCCAUGUAAAGCACUGCAAAUACAACAGGAUAUGAACACUAUUGAAGGAUAGCAAUAAAUAGAUAAACCAUCAAUUGCACAGAUGAAAAUAGGUGUUUUAAUAUGCAUGAAGACAUGUGUCUUAUUCAACAGGGAACUUUCGAGGUUGUGGUUUAAAAAGGAAAGACCAAAGCCUGGGCCAGUGAGAUGUCUCAGUUGGUAGAUGUACUGCCAUGAAGACCUGAGUUCAAUCCACAGAACCUAUGUAAUGUUGGAGGCGAAGGGCUGACUCUGUAGAGUUGAAUUGUAACAUACUCAGUGCGCUGCACUAUUCAAGUGUCCAAACAAAGCUCUCUCUGUCUCUCUGUCUCUGUCUCUGUCUCUGUCUCUGUCUGUCUCUCUCUGUCUCUCUCUCUCUCUGUCUCUGUCUCUCUGUCUCUCUGUCUCUCUCUCUCUCAUACACACACACACUCAACACACUAGGCUUAUACAGGUGCUCAAUAAUAAUAAUAAUACAUUUUCAAAGUAAAUACAAUAAAACAAGAUAAUUAGAUGACAACAUCAAAAUUUUAUUGCCCGGGGGUGAUGUUCUUUAAAGAUAUUAGAACAGAAAAACAUAAAAUAAAGAAAUAAAUAUGUGAAAAGAGGACAAAUAAGACGUACUUGCAUAAUUAAAGUGACUAAAAUCAAAUUAGAAUUACAAAACAUAAACAACAGCAAAGUAAAAGCAGACAAAAACUAAAGAUUUGACAGUGCCAUUUUUUACAGCCAUCUUUUAGAAGAGAUAUAAUAAUUAACAAAUGCUAUGAGAAUAUUCAUGUUAAUACAUUUUCACUAGCAUUGGUUUAAAUUAAAGACAGCAUCUUUAAGAAAAUGUAAAUCCUUAAGAAAAUGUACUUUCUGAAGAAGUACAAAACGUUAAGUGGAAAGGUAACUUGAUGUCAUAUAUGAAUAAGUUUUACUUCCCCUCUUGGUUACAUCUGUGAAAAGCGCAUGAUUUUUGUUAUGCGAUUUAGAGACUUAACACCUCGGUGCUUCUUAUAUACAUUUGUCAUGAGUAAUUUAUUCUGCAGGUUCUUCACAUGAAAUUUCUUCACACUUAAUUUUAUUUACUGUAGUGUGUGUGUGUGUGUGUGUGUGUGUGUGUGUGUGUGUUGCUUUUGCUUUAGAGACAGGGUGUCAUGCUGACCUUCAACAGAGUACCAAGUUGGCCUGGAACACACUAUGUAGCUGAGGAUAGUUUCGAACUUGUGAUUCUCCUGAUUCCAGCACCUCAAUUUUCCAGGUGCUAGGCUUUCAGGUGAACAUCAUCAUCUGAUUUGCAUAAUGUUGGAGAUGCAGCCAGGACUUCUAGCAUGCUGGUCAAGCAUUCUAUUAACUGCACUACAUCACUAGCAGAACUAUAGUUUUAAAAGAUAUGUGUGUGUGUAUGUAUGUAUAUAUGUAUAAAGUUUUAUUUAUUCAACUAUGUGUGGGUUUGUGAAUGCAGUGCUCUCAGUAGGCAGACGAGGACACUGGAUCACUUAGAUCUGAGUUAAAAUCAUUUGUGAGCUUCCCUAUCUGAGUGUUGGGAACCCACCUCAGGGCCUCUGCAGAGGCAGCAUGACCUCUUGACCACAGAGCCAUCUCUUCAGCCUCCUACUGCUUUCAUUAGAUGGAGCUUUUCCAGGUCCAGCUUCACUCCAUGGUUCCAUUAACUGUAUCUUGUAAGUGGCAUCAUUAUUACUUUUAAAACCCUCUAUAAUCAGUUUUAUUUUUGUCUCUGGUCCAACAAUUGUUGAUUUGUUUUAUUUUUAUCUUGACAUUUUAGUGCCAAGUGUUUGUGUGUUUUGGGUACAUUUAAUCCAUUCUCAAGAUUAUUACAAGUUAAAGAGCAUCAUGUACAUCUUCUGUACUUAGUGAAAUAGCUCAUGACAAUUGAAUGGGUAGCCUAUGGAAAAUUGCAGAUAAAGUGAUGUGCCAUUAUAUACUGAGAAAAGAUAUAAGCAGUUUUGAUUGCAGGAUAUAAGUUCUUCUCUGUCUUAUAAAUCAUCUUGAUUACGUACAUUAAAAAUAAACAGCCAUCUUUUAAAAA